rnacentral:tRNA from 1 species
AUCAUUCUGGCAGAUGAAGUGCAGUAAAUUUAGAAUUUAAACAUACACAUGAGUGAAUGAUA